rnacentral:rRNA from 1 species
GACGAACGCUGGCGGCGUGCUUAACACAUGCAAGUCGAACGAGGUCCAUCCGGGUAACCGGAGAAGACCUAGUGGCGAACGGGUGCGUAACACGUGAGCAACCUGCCCCGAAGACCGGGAUAACAGCGGGAAACCGCUGCUAAUACCGGAUACCCCCACCAGAUCGCAUGGUCAGGUGAGGAAAGGAUUCUGCUUCGGGAGGGGCUCGCGGCCUAUCAGCUUGUUGGCGGGGUAACGGCCCACCAAGGCAACGACGGGUAGCUGGUCUGAGAGGACG